rnacentral:ncRNA from 2 species
GAUAGGCCCUGGGGGAGUUUGCAAAACUGAGAGUCCUGCGCAUGCGGGACAACCCUUUGAACCUGAUCCGGGUCAUUCCGGCGUAGGGAAGCGGCGCAAAUGCAGA